rnacentral:rRNA from 2 species
GCAGGCGGUCUGUCAAGUCGGAUGUGAAAUCCCCGGGCUCAACCUGGGAACUGCAUUCGAAACUGGCAGGCUUGAGUCUUGUAGAGGGGGGUAGAAUUCCAGGUGUAGCGGUGAAAUGCGUAGAGAUCUGGAGGAAUACCGGUGGCGAAGGCGGCCCCCUGGACAAAGACUGACGCUCAGGUGCGAAAGCGUGGGGAGCAAACAGGAUUAGAUACCCUGGUAGUCCACGCCGUAAACGAUGUCUACUUGGAGGUUGUGCCCUUGAGGCGUGGCUUCCGGAGCUAACGCGUUAAGUAGACCGCCUGGGGAGUACGGCCGCAAGGUUAAAACUCAAAUGAAUUGACGGGGGCCCGCACAAGCGGUGGAGCAUGUGGUUUAAUUCGAUGCAACGCGAAGAACCUUAC